ensembl:snRNA U6 U6 spliceosomal RNA
AUGUUCACUUUGGCAGCACAUAUGUUAAAUUUUUAACAACACAGAAAAGUUUAAUAUAGCCCUUGUGAAAGGAUGGCAUAUAAAUUCAUAAAAUGUUUCAUAUUUUU